rnacentral:rRNA from 1 species
AAUAGAUACCCGGGUAGUCCACGCCGUAAACGUUGGCGCUAGAUGUGGGGACCUUUCCACGGUUUCCGGUGUCGUAGCUAACGCAUUAAGCGCCCCGCCUGGGGAGUACGGCCGCAAGGCUAAAACUCAAAGGAAUUGACGGGGGCCCGCACAAGCGGCGGAGCAUGCGGAUUAAUUCGAUGCAACGCGAAGAACCUUACCAAGGCUUGACAUACACGAGAACGGGCCAGAAAUGGUCAACUCUUUGGACACUCGUGAACAGGUGGUGCAUGGUUGUCGUCAGCUCGUGUCGUGAGAUGUUGGGUUAAGUCCCGCAACGAGCGCAACCCUCGUCGCAUGUUGCCAGCACGUUAUGGUGGGGACUCAUGUGAGACUGCCGGGGUCAACUCGGAGGAAGGUGGGGAUGACGUCAAAUCAUCAUGCCCCUUAUGUCUUGGGCUUCACGCAUGCUACAAUGGCCGGUACAAAGGGCUGCGAUGUCGUAAGGCGGAGCGAAUCCCAAAAAGCCGGUCUCAGUUCGGAUUGAGGUCUGCAACUCG